rnacentral:rRNA from 1 species
UGAACGCUAGCGACAGGCCUAACACAUGCAAGUCAGGGGCAGCACAAGGAGCAAUCUGAGGUGGCGACCGGCGCACGGGUGAGUAACACGUAUGCAACCUGCCUGUAAGCGGGGAAUAACCCGUUGAAAGACGGACUAAUACCGCAUAAUACUAAAUUACUGCAUGGUAAUUUAUUUAAACAUUUAUGGCUUACAGAUGGGCAUGCGCAUGAUUAGCUAGUUGGAGAGGUAACGGCUCCCCAAGGCAACGAUCAUUAGGGGUUCUGAGAGGAAGGUCCCCCACACUGGUACUGAGACACGGACCAGACUCCUACGGGAGGCAGCAGUGAGGAAUAUUGGUCAAUGGACGAGAGUCUGAACCAGCCAAGUCGCGUGCAGGAAGAAUGUCCUAUGGAUUGUAAACUGCUUUUGCAGGGGAAUAAAGUGCAUCACGUGUGAUGUUUUGUAUGUACUCUGCGAAUAAGGAUCGGCUAACUCCGUGCCAGCAGCUGC